AUGCUGGAAGCGAAGCUUAUCUAUAAACAAGAAACAUCCGGCUAUAAACAAGAAACAUCCGGUACGACGUUCAGGUGAAAUAGAGGGAGAAAGAAAGAGAUGGAGAGAGAUUAGAGGAGGGAGACGGCGUAAAGGACAAGGAGGCUGCCCAUCGUCGUUAGAGGGAGUCUUCGCGUUGGCAUCAUUGCCAUCCACACGCUUAGCCUGAUUGUAUUCCGGCGAACCUAGGGUUCUGCCGUGAUUUUCGACGGUGGUGGAUAGGGUCAAAUCGACCACCAAAACCAGCGGCGGCUAGGGUUUCGUGGUGUAAGGGGUUGCUGAUGAGAUUCAGAUCCCACUCAGGCAGAUUUUUGUUGAGUUUCUUGAGAGAAACGGAUUGGUGGUGUUUUAAAUGGAGUUCAACGCAGAGCUUCGUAGAAACUCAAGGCUAAAAGCACCAAGAAGAUUGUGCUAAGGUUACAAGCAUGUGUCCCAGCAUCCAAUUAAGAGAUGCAAACAUUUUGACAUUGUGGAGACAAGAAGGCCAAUGGAACUAAACAAAAAAAGAUGCAAACAUUUUGGCAUUGGUGCAGAGAUGCAAACAUUUUGACAUUUGUAUACGUG
rnacentral:lncRNA from 1 species